GCGAGGAUGGCGGAAUGGCAGACGCGAUCGUUUAAGGGGCGGUUUCCGAGAGGAGUGAGGGUUCGACCCCCUUUCCUCGCACCA
rnacentral:tRNA from 1 species